rnacentral:misc_RNA from 1 species
AGCAGCCGCGGUAAUUCCAGCUCCAAUAGCGUAUAUUAAAGUUGUUGCAGUUAAAAGCUCGUAGUUGAAUUUCGGGAUCAAUUUAUUGGUCGUGCAAUAGUACGUACUGGUAUUAUUGGUUCCUACCUUCUGAUGAACCAUGAUGUCAUUAAUUUGGUGUUAUGGGGAAUCAGGACUGUUACUUUGAAAAAUUAGAGUGUUUAAAGCAGGCUCACGCUUGAAUACAUUAGCAUGGAAUAGUGAAAUAGGACGUUUGAUUCUAUUUUGUUGGUUUCUAGGAUCGACGUAAUGAUUAAUAGGGAUAGUUGGGGGCAUUAGUAUUCAAUUGUCAGAGGUGAAAUUCUUGGAUUUAUUGAAGACUAACUACUGCGAAAGC